GUCAAAUUCAGACACAGAGAGGGAGGGUCUGUUGAUGUAUGUAUGAUGGGAAGCUCAGAAGAAUGUAAGUUUGGGAUGUGAAAGCAUCACACUCCUGAAUUAUGAUUAUUUAUCGUCAUGAUAGUGCCUGGAGGCCCCAGCCUCAUUGCGCUAAGGACUUCACAGACACAUAAAGAAGAGACAGUCCCUGCUCUGAAGAUGAAUGAGGAAAACCCCUGAUGGGGCUGGGAACAGCUGUGGCAUAUAUCCAUCAAGCUGAUGGAGCAUGUUUACAAGGAGCACAGGAGCAACAGGGAACAGGUUAUGUGCACAUGGUGGCUGCCCUGAAUCCUCAGCUCGUUGCUGCUGUUGGGUUCUACAUGGUCACGGACAUCCUCCCCUGCAUUGCUGCCAGCAGCAGUCAUCUAGAUGAGUGUGAAAGGGGUGCCUUAGCACAGCAGACAGAGUGGGAGGAUGAGGCACCCGAGCUACCUUCAGAUGCAUUUGCUGGAGUACCAAAAGCAGUACAACCACAGGGUGAUGUUGUUGAUGCCACUUAUCAAUGUGCUUAUCCUUGUUGCCAGAAGGUUCCUCAGACUGGUUGA
rnacentral:lncRNA from 14 species